rnacentral:rRNA from 1 species
GAUGAACGCUGGCGGCGUGCCUAAUACAUGCAAGUCGAGCGAACGGACGAGAAGCUUGCUUCUCUGAUGUUAGCGGCGGACGGGUGAGUAACACGUGGAUAACCUACCUAUAAGACUGGGAUAACUUCGGGAAACCGGAGCUAAUACCGGAUAAUAUUUUGAACCGCAUGGUUCAAAAGUGAAAGACGGUCUUGCUGUCACUUAUAGAUGGAUCCGCGCUGCAUUAGCUAGUUGGUAAGGUAACGGCUUACCAAGGCAACGAUGCAUAGCCGACCUGAGAGGGUGGACGGCCAGCCGGGAACUGAGACACGGUCCAGACGCCUGCGGGAGGCAGCAGUAGGGAAUCUUACGCGAGGGGGGAGAGCCGGACGGAGCAACGCGGCGUGAGUGAUGAAGGUCUUCGGAUCGUAAAACUCUGUUAGUAGGGAAGAACAUAUGUGUAAGUAACUGUGCACAUCUUGACGGUACCUAAUCAGAAAGCCACGGCUAACUACGUG